AUGAAGAAUAGGUUUAAGAUCCUGAAUCAGAAGCCAUUUCACCCAUACUCCAUUCAGGUUAAGCUAGUUCUUGCUUGUUGCAUUUUGCAUAACUGGAUCCUCCAGUGGGGCUUUAAUGAACACGUGCCUGAGGAGGAAGAGGUCGAGCCUGGCAAUGUUGUUAGCUCCAGCCAUGGUGUGGAGGCAUUUGACAAUGACGCUUGA
rnacentral:rRNA from 1 species